rnacentral:lncRNA from 10 species
CUACUCUGGACCACGGUGACCUUUUAAAUAUUCUGCAAAUUGAUUUCCAGGCCAUUCCCACUCUCCCUUGUUUAUAGCCUUGGUAACCCAGAAGAAAAUGAGACUGGCCAGCUGUGAUUCCUGCAUUUCUGUUCUCAUCAGUGCUCAGAAUUACAUUUCUUUCUCUCCCAAAGGCUUCAUGACAACGCUUACUGUUGAUCUAGAGAGCAGCAGCACCAAGAAUCUUCAAUAAGGACAAGUUUAAGAGCUAUAAGCAGUUGUGUGGACUCCUUAGAGCCUUCUGCCUGAGAUGAUGCUGCCAGAGGGCCCUUGCCAGAUAUUGCCACCUUGAUAUUAGACUUCCCAUCCUCCAAAACUGGUAGUGUCACUAGCAGAGCAAUCUCCAGUUCAUAUGGGUGGUGACAGAAGAGGGAUCCUGCAGCAUCAAGGGCUCCUUUGCAAUGAUUUCUGUCUAGAUGGCAAUCAUGAGGGGCCUUGUUUUUCUGCUUUGUGUGUGAGUGGGAACGUGUGUCAGCAUCAACCUUGCAUUUAUCAACAACAUCCUCAUUUUUGUUUGGCGAGGUGGUGAGGGAUCCAUGCAGGAGGAAAUGAAGUGACUGCAUUUAUCUCAAUGUUCCCAAGGGUCAGGUGUUAUCAAAAGGUCUCAUCAAAUUAUUUUAUGUAGAAGAGCACCCAAAUGUUAUUUCUUGCUGUUCCUCUUCUUUUCCUCAAGAGAAAGAAGGUUGAAAACUGAAAAUGAUGAAGUUGAAGAAUGAAGUCAAUGAGUGUUAAGAAGAGAUUCAUUUAUCCUUGAAAAAUGAAAAAGUAGAGUGCUGGUGGUGAUCAUGUCUUCCCUUCACCCAUGGGGACUUUUCAUUUAUCGCUGCCACUCCAGCAUGUUCACUAUUCUCUGUAGCAUGAAAAUCUGAUAAAGCUCAUGAGGGGAGAGAAAACUUAACUUCAAUAUUUUCCUGCUGAGCCUGAGAGUGCUUUGUAUACCCUAGCAAGAUGAAAAUCUUAGCUGCAGCAUCAGGAAGAGGACACCUCACUUUAUCCUACAUUCCUAUCUCAGUCAGGAAAGUAGCUCUAGAGAAGGAACUAAGAAGUCAAGGAUUUCUGAUGCAAAGGCCUGAUAGAAGUUAUCUGGCCACAGAA